GUGACUCACUACGGGAGUUGGUGAUCUUUAAAUGCCCAGAGCUGGUCCUGGUGGACCCGCCAACUCUUGUUCCUGGAGAAGGAUGGCUACAAGCCUUGCAAUCCCUCCAGAGAUUAACAAUACAGUGGUCCCCAAAGUUUCUAUCCACCUUCUCCUUUUCCUGUCACAUUUUCCCUUCCUCCCUGAACUAAGAGUCAUUGGCAGCCCUGGAUUCUUUGCUGAUUGGGAUCCCAAUCCCAGACGGGCUUUGGAGGAUGCCGAGGGAAGUGAAGAGCAGCAGACACAGCUUGUUUCAUCCACACUGCGUGAGCUUGCGACAGAUGACAUAUCAGGACUUCUUGCUGCACCCGUCUGUAGUUUGCUCUCUUCCUCCCUCACCAAUCUGGUACUUUCGGGGGGAGGGUCCAAAGGGAUGGAGCGGUUCAACAAGGAGCAAGAGGACGCCCUUCAACUCCUCUCCUCCCUCCAGGAACUAGAGUUUUGGUCUUUCAACGAUCUUCAGCAACUCCCUGCAGGGCUGCGUAACCUUACCAGCCUCAAGAAAUUAUCAGUCUACUCUUGUCCAGCCGUCUUGUCAUUGCCCAAUGAUGCCCUCCCAGAUUCGCUGAAAAUGCUAGAUAUCUUCAGCUGCAGUGAGGAGCUGAAACAGUACUGCAGGGGGUUAGUGGGAACCAUCCCAGAAAUCAAUAUAUACGACUGAUCCAAGGACUCUGCCUUGGAGUUUUCUUGUACAUUCUUCUAGCCUUGUAGAGCUCUUCCCUUCCCAUACAAACACAUUUGCUCCUUCCUGUGGCUUAAAUCUGGUGUUCGUUCAAUUUUGUGGGCUUAUUCAUAUUUUGCAUUUUCUUCAUAUUUUGUAGUCUACUUCCCUAUUUCAGGUCAAGCUACUGAUGUUAAGGUGUUCUAGUGUUUGUUUGGUAGGCUGUGUAGCCACUUGUGUUUACAUUUUGUCCAAAACUCAUGAAGACUGACGGUGUACCUGGAGAGUCCAGUUUUAGAGAUCAACGGAUCGCAGGAAUAGCCUGCAUACCAUAGCACUGCACCCCUGGAGCCAAUUCAGAUCAUAGGGGUAGUAGCAGUCCAAAGUCGGACAUCAUGCAUGUA